AACAACCUUUUACCCCUCCCCUCUUCCCAAACCCUAGCCACCAGGAGAGGAUUUCCUCUCUCCUCAUCACCACUACCAGUUUUUGGCAAAUUUGCAGGCAAGAAUAGGCUUUUGCCAGGCCUGUGUGACCACAUGAGGCAAAUCAUUUAUUGCUUCUGCCAUUUUUCACCAAACUCAACCCCAAACACGGUGUAUUUCUUCAUCUCUCUCUCUAUUUCUUUUACUUUUUUGUGUAUCAACGGUCAAAUGGACUGAAUUUCUUAAUGGGUUUUGUUGUUACUCGAAUUUGAAUCCAGAAUUUCAGCGGUUCAUGAAGAACCAAGUAGAUUGAUCGAUUGAGGGCACAAUCUGACUUUUUAUUUGUUUCCUACAUUUAAUCUCAACCCUUCAAUGCUUGAAUGUGAGGAAGAAGUUCAAAAUUUGUGACUUGUCCCAUAUCGGCUGAAAUUAGGGUUUUACUUCAAUUUGGGGGGCUAUAAAUGGAACCCCAAUUCACGGUUUUAAGAAACCGGCAAACGGAAUAUCUCACAUAUUCACAAAAAUCCGAAAAUACCUAGGGUUUCCAGCAAUUUGCUUAAGAUCUUUAAUUUUGUUCGGGUUAAGUUAAAUUUUAAAGUUUUAAUUGUUGUUUUCUUGUUAAUUGUGGCUGAGUAUUGGAAUUAAGGAGGCAACAAAGCUCUUCGAAAGUUCAAACUCGAUCUAAGGCUGCGCCUACAAGAGUUAUAAAAGCAUUGCAUUGCUGAUAAACAAUUCAAAAAGAGGAUUAUGAAGUUGGAAUUCUAUCUCCAAGAGGCUCGAACUCAAUUUCGCAAGCUCCAAAGGUAAUUCCUUGUAUAUACGGUGGAAACCGAGGUAAAUGUCGAGGUCAUAUGGUACACGGCCGAAGUAGAACGAGAUCAUUAGCCUCGGGUAAGAUCGAAGGGGUCGAGGACCGAGGAGUUGUGAGCUUUCCCAACUAAACGUCAGAAAUCGAGGGAAUGCUAAUAGGAGGAGAGACUUCGAAGACCGAGGGAAAGACGCUUGACACAGGUUCGACGGAUCUGUUACGGGCCAGGUCGCACCCCGCCAUUCGCGCCAUAAUUUGCGCUGACAUCCGUAUGGAGUCUCUGACAUCCGUACGGAGCACCGUUUUUAUGAAUUUUAGGAUUUUCUUAAAGGGCCUUUUUAGGUUUGUACAAAGGCCCAUCUACUGUUCACUAUAAAUAGGGAUGGACCUCCUUUAUUUAAGGGCUAGUCUUUUAUACACACUCACACUUGUAAUAUGAAAAAUAUAUAUUGAAACUUUCUAUUGGUUUGGCUCGGGGCAGAGGCAGUUCUUUCCAAAACCGGACCAAAUUCAGAGAGACUAAUAUCUUGAUC